rnacentral:rRNA from 1 species
UACGUAAGGACCGAGCGUUGUCCGGAAUCAUUGGGCGUAAAGUGUCUGUAGGUGGCUUUUUAAGUCCUCCGUCAAAUCCCAGGGCUCAACCCCGGACAGGCGGUGGAAACUGACAAGCUGGAGUACGGUAGGGGCAGAGGGAAUUUCCGGUGGAGCGGUUAAAUGCGUAGAGAUCGGAAAGAACACCAACGGCGAAAGCACUCUGCUGGACCGAUACUGACACUCAGAGACGAAAGCGUGGGGAGCAAACAGG